GUGGCCCUACGGGGCGCAGCAGUAGGGAAUCUUUCACAAUGGGCGAAAGCCUGAUGGAGCAACGCCGCGUGGGUGAAGAAGGUCUUCGGAUCGUAAACCCCUGUUGUUAGAGAAGAAAGUGCGUGAGAGUAACUGUUCACGUUUCGACGGUAUCUAACCAGAAAGCCACGGCUAACUACGUGCCAGCAGCCGCGGUAAUACGUAGGUGGCAAGCGUUAUCCGGAUUUAUUGGGCGUAAAGGGAACGCAGGCGGGCUUUUAAGUCUGAUGUGAAAGCCUUCGGCUUAACCGGACGAGUGCAUUGGA
rnacentral:rRNA from 1 species